UCUUCCCGGGGUAUCAGCCUCUCCCUCAUGCUGCAUAGUGGUGCUGUUCCUGGAAUUGAGAGAAAUGGGGUGCAUGCCACCUGGCCCCAAAGACAACCAUGGCCAUUAUAUUCCCUGGCAUUCCUGAUUGGUUUCAGAAAAAAUAUCCUACUCCUGGAAGACAUGCUGAGGACAUGACCAGAACCUUGAAGGACCUGGACACCUAGAAUGAGGACUGGACUAACCAGCUCCUCUCCCACUUCUGCCACUAAAUCCUUAUUGACUCCUUAUUGACGCUGAGACUGCUACUAACCUCAUCAAUAAAUCACACCAGGAUUGACCACUCCCAGAACUCAGGGAGAACUAUUGGAGACAGGCUAUUGCUCAAGACAGCAUGUUCUGCUUGAGCAAGGGGCCCCAGAAGAUGAGACACAUAGAGCCCUGCAGCUGCAUCCACUUCCUCAUGCCUUAGCCCCUGUAUGAUCUCUAACUCUCCUGAUUCACAGCACAGUUGCCUCCAGCAUGCAGGAAGGUAACUGUCUCUUGCU